CAACGGAUAAAAGGUACCCCGGGGAUAACAGGCUGAUCAUCCCCAAGAGUCCAUAUCGACGGGAUGGUUUGGCACCUCGAUGUCGGCUCGUCGCAUCCUGGGGCUGGAGCAGGUCCCAAGGGUUCGGCCGUUCGCCGAUUAAAGCGGCACGCGAGCUGGGUUCAGAACGUCGUGAGACAGUUUGGUCUCUAUCCUCUGCGCUCGUUGGAAUCUUGAGGAGCCCUGCCCAUAGUACGAGAGGACCUGGGUGGACGAACCUCUGGUAUGCCGGUUGUCGCGCCAGCGGCACGGCCGGUUGGCUACGUUCGGAUGGGAUAACCGCUGAAAGCAUCUAAGCGGGAAGCCCCCUCCAAGAUAAGGAUUCCAUGAAGCCUUCGGGCUUCUGAAGACCCCAUGCAGAACACAUGGUCGAUAGACCGGACGUGGACACCCCGCAAGGGGCGGAGCCGACCGGCACUAAUGGUCGAAGACAACACACCAU
rnacentral:rRNA from 1 species